UGCCAGCAGCCGCGGUAAUACGUAGGUGGCAAGCGUUGUCCGGAAUUAUUGGGCGUAAAGCGCGCGCAGGCGGCCGUGCAAGUCCAUCUUAAAAGCGUGGGGCUUAACCCC
rnacentral:rRNA from 1 species